AUUAUCUGUGUUCCAUGGGCAAGCCUUGAUCUUUUCGUGGUUUUCAGUUUUCCAUCUCCAUUUUACUUGAUUGCUUAUACCUCACCUUUUGAAAACAGAGUUUGAAAGAGACAGUAGUGAUAUUUUUUAUCUACUUUAUAUGGCUGUUGGGAGGACUAAAUAGGGUGGCAUUGGUGAGGCUGGAUUUAUUUUCUCCAGCCCAUUUACCUGCUUCCUGAAACUGAAUUGUGACUCAUCUUAACCAUCUUUAAGAUUUUCCAAUGGGAAUUAAUUAAUUGGGUAAGUAAGCAUGUUUUAAAAUGCAAGAGUGUUCUUUUCAGCAUUGAUUAUAAUCGCCCCACAUUAAAAGCAAAUAGGCCAGGCGCGG
rnacentral:lncRNA from 1 species